CACGAUCUGGAACCUCUCUGCAAACCUUGGCUGCCCGUUCCCACCACCGUUUCUCCCUUUCUCUCUUCAGAAGUGGCGCGGUGCGGUUCCCCGCGGUUGGGAGCAGCAGCCAGCAGGCUGCCAGAGAUCCAACCGCGCCUUGCAGCGCACAGAGGGACGCAACAGGGACGGACGGUCCUUCCUGCCAUACAGAAGGAUGGAUCCUGCGCGUCCAUGGAGUGGUGCUGGGCAAGGGGGGAAACGGAAAGCCUCCGCAGAGAGAGGUGCCGAGCCCAACGGAAAGAUCUACGCAAAAGCAGUGCAGGAAGUCCUUCUGGAGAGAGCUCAUCUCCAGGCUGGAGGGCUUCCUACAACAGCAGGUCCCAGCACAGGGGGAAGACCUUCCCCUGCC